CCUACGAGAUGCAGCAGUGGGGAAUAUUGCACAAUGGGGGAAACCCUGAUGCAGCGACGCCGCGUGAGUGAAGAAGUAUUUCGGUAUUUAAAGCUCUAUCAGCAGGGAAGAUAAUGACGGUACCUGAGUAAUAAGCCCCGGCUAACUACGUGCCAGCAGCCGCGGUUAUCCGUAGGGGGCAAGCGUUAUCCGGAUUUACUGGGGGUAAAGGGAGAUUAGACGGCAUGGCAAGUCUGAAGGGAAACCCCGGGGCUCAACCGCGGGACUGCUUUGGAAACUGUUAAGCUUGAGUGCAGGAGAGGUAAGUGGAAUGCCUAGUGUAGCGGUGAAAUGCGUAGAUAUUAGGAGGAACACCAGUGGCGAAGGCGGCAUACUGGACUGUAACUGACGUUGAGGCUCGAAAGCGUGGGGAGCAAACAGGAUUAGAUACCCGGGUAGUC
rnacentral:rRNA from 1 species